GCUAACUCCACAAUAAUUAUGGAAAAACGCUUAUGUAUUUUAUUAUUGCUGUCCCUGGUCGUCCUCUCCGCUGCGAGACCACAGGAGUUUGAUGAAGAUGAGGACCAUAGCCAAGCUGAAGAGAAAAAAGAUGACGUAGCUCGAGUACAAAUAAAGGUUUACAGAGGACCCACCAAGCACGACGGAUACGCACCAUGGGGCUUUUGGGUCAAGCAGCCUUCCGACGAUUAGCGCUAGAUGGCGCUACUAGUUAG